UGGCUGGUCUCAAACUCCUGAUCUCAAGUGAUCCGUCCGCCUUGACCUUCCAAAAUGCUGGGAUUAUAGGCGUGAGCCACUGCGCCCGGCCAGUCAUGGUCUCCUUUAAAGAUUGUGUUGCUUUCUGCCUCAAUAUUCAUCAAUAUGUUGGAAGUUACCAAGAAGUUCCUGACAGAUGUAUUUCAAAUUCUGGUGAAGAAAGAAGAAUUGGCCCUUGAUAGGAUCAAUGUUUUACAAUAAUUUUGAAAGGUGGUAGUGACAGAAGGAAGAAUACAUUAUGGAGGGUAUUCGGAUAAAGGACAAACCCCUGACUGCUACUGACUUAUUGAAACUGAGAGUCACCAUUGGCACAUGAAACUCUUCCGCUGCCUAGAGCGUGAAAUGGUCCCCAAAAGACAAGUCAGAUUUAUUACUCAAAAAUAUGCAGCCUCAGUAAAGACAUCCAUGCCUCUAAUUCUUCCAGUUAUGCAUUUCGAUCAGCUUGAUCAAGAAACACCAGAAAAAGUAUCUGAAUGGACAAAAGCAGGUGGUCAGCAGAUCAGUGUAGACAGUCUCUCCUCUUGUCCCCUGCUUUGAACCACAAGGGUUCUGGCCUUUCAGGUGAUGCUGAUGACACCCUUUCUCAGAAAUUGGAUAAUCUGAGUCUCUCCAGGCAAGGAACAUUUUUAUCAAUGAAGAAUUUUGGAAAGACGGAGUAGAGCGUUAAUCCCUAGAAGACCCUGAAGGAUGGGGUGGGCGCGAGAUUACAUGACAUAGUUCUUCCUCAAAUUUGGUGAUAAAAGCAUCUUCAGCAGCAGCCCGGUGAGAAGGAUAUUCCAGCCAAUCAGCAUUGGGUAUCUGAUAACAUGUUUGAAAAUAAGAACAAGCUAAAGCAGUCUUGCAAGUAAAAGUUACUGACCUGAUAUGGACUGGGCACAAGACGAACAGUGUUUCUGCUCACGGCAACCACCCAGGCCCUGCAAGCAGUAGAAGGCUCCAGAAAUUGGAUCUGGACCAUGGGCCUUCAGGGUAUGCUAAUGAUCAGACACAGGCGUAGGAAAAUCCCCUGGGGUUUUUGUCAGACUUGAAACCAGAGCAACAUGCUCAAGAUUCUGUGGAUUCUUUGGCUUUGUCCAACAUCACAGUAGCUUCAGUGGAUGGAUGAAGCAAGCUGAGGUCAUCCUUAUAUUCCCUGCAAACUCUGAAAAAAACGGAGGCAGAAGAUUGUGAGCAAAUCAGCAGUAUGGAAACUUUGAACUCUGCUGCAUCAAACUGCAGAGUCCUUAAAGUGUCCAAGUUCAGAAUUUUGUCUAGAAAAAAAUCAUGCCUGAAGAAAAACUGGUAUAUCUGCCAGGACUCAGGCAAUCCAAGUCUCAGUCCAGACCUCAGAAGGUCAGCUGAUGUCACUGACAAUGGAAACUACAACAUCAAGUUCAGGCAGUGUCCUGUGAGUGACAAGACCUGGGUGUACCAUCGUGAAGGGAGGGGAUCUAGAUCUCAUCACCAUUCCCACAGGAGAAGUAGAAAGUCCCACUCUGACAAUAUCCCAAAUAUUCUUACAGAAAGAGAAUAAUCUCCCAAGGACGGACCGCAGCUCUACAUCUCCCAUAACUACGGGUAAUUUAUGUGGAAUAAAAGUGCCCAGGAAAUCCAAGCAUACAUCCAGAAGGCAACCUCUAUAGACAGCAUGCCCAUCCACUUCCGACCAUUCAUAUGUGCCCAGGAGUGAAGAGAUUUCUGGGAUUUCUGGUGUUCCUCCUUCUCGUCCCUCUUCUGACUCAGAACAAAAGAAUAUUUUCUUGGACAAGUCGGUCCCUCCACCCCAGCCACAGAGAUACGCCGACUAUCUUGUCCAACUUCUGCACUCCCUGCUGGUCAGUUUGGUUAGAGGACAGCUCAAUUCAAGAAAAUAGGCGGACACAAGUGCAAAAACUAUUAUUUCUUAAGAUAGUCGCUGUGGAGAUAAUGUGUUUAAAAUGUAGCAUUAACCAUCAAAAUCCUCUUUUUUUCUUACAUAAGAAAAUUGCUAAAAUAAAGUGUUUUGCCUUUGUAAA